rnacentral:rRNA from 1 species
UACGGAAGGUCCAGGCGUUAUCCGGAUUUAUUGGGUUUAAAGGGAGUGUAGGCGGUCUGUUAAGCGUGUUGUGAAAUUUAGGUGCUCAACAUUUAACUUGCAGCGCGAACUGGCGGACUUGAGUGCACGCAACGUAUGCGGAAUUCAUGGUGUAGCGGUGAAAUGCUUAGAUAUCAUGACGAACUCCGAUUGCGAAGGCAGCGUACGGGAGUGUUACUGACGCUUAAGCUCGAAGGUGCGGGUAUCGAACAGG